AGGCCGGGCCCAGAAGAAGCCCCUGUGGCUGCGCCCCCGGCGGAGGGCUAGGCUGUGUGUCCUCUCCCUGCCAUGUAGGGGGCAGCAACACGCAAGGCUAGACGCUUCCUCCACCUCUCAGCCCUCGCCCGACACACACUCCGCCCGACACACACACUCCCGCACACACAGAUCCUUGCAAGAGCGAAGGAUCUCACUUCUGUACCUCCUCAGAAGAAAAAGGAAGAAAACUGCUCCAGUCUUCAGCUGUGUAAGCCUUCAGAGAGAUAAACAGGGCUGCCCCUUCCUCCUCUGUAAAGACGUGGGAAGCCAGGAAUGGCGCGCAUGUGAAUGAAUCCACCUGCUCUGAUGCUGCAGGCAGUGAGGUUCUGAGUGUGAAUCCUGGGAAAUGGCGUCCAGGCAGAGGCCACGUGGGCGAGGGCCACUCUGUCGCUCUGAGGAGCUCGUGAAAGCUACUGUGUGAAUGAUGUGGCUCCCCCUCCACGCGGGAAACUGUGAGGGGCGCCUGACCACGCCGUGACAAACCAGGUGGUGGUGGGAGGCACCGUCCAGGUGUGUUGCCAUGGUGUCAGCCUGUGUCCUGCACACCAAGAAGUCACCAGAGGGCAUUCUGCUCCUUGAGGAGGUGCGCCUGUGGUCGGCACUGUGCUCUGGGCGCUUUAACUUCAUGAUUCAAGGUCACUCAAGUGAGAACUACAACCUUGGGAAAUGGACUGAGAUUGUCCACCUCCUGCCCUGUGGACUUCGCAGCAAUCUGAAAGGAAUGGUGUGCUUUACCUCUGGCCUAAACACAGAAAUCAUUUCCCUUUCCUUGCCAAUUGCUGUUGUUGCUUUUAUUUUUCUUCUGCUGAGUGAUAACUUUGGGAAAAGGGAACAAACAGGGCAAUUUCUGAUCUUAUUGGUUAAGUGGUGACAAGAAUUUAAGAGAAAGUGCGACCUUUGUACUCCAUUCUAUGCCUUCCAUUCCCACCUGAAACAUAAGAAAAAAUUUAUACGUGACCAUUUAUCAUUUCCACACUUUGACAAACCCUUUCCAUACUUUUAUUACCAAAACACUGUGAAGUGUACAAAAUGUACAUGAUAUAGAGAAGGUUUUAUGUCGCUUUCCAAACCGACUCCAUUGCAAGAGAACAGAGCAGGCUGUCGGCCAAGAUAUAUCUGUGCAAAGCCUGGUGUAACACGCAAUCUAUUCCAGAUUCUCCCUCUGCCCAACCCGCAGUUGUUUGACAAGUAGACAGAUUUUUAUUAUUUGAACUGGAAAUGUCCUUUUGAUAAAUUUGUACACAUUUAAGCUUUACUUACAGAAGGCAUCUGCUUCAAGUAUUUUCCAGGAAAAGUGAUAUGUUGAAUCUCAGAAAGGUCUUUUCCACUGGUAAUAUUUAUCAAAAAGUAAAUCACAAUAAAGUCGUGUAUUAAUGGCCUGG
ensembl:lncRNA